rnacentral:rRNA from 1 species
GAUGAACGCUGGCGGCGUGCCUAAUACAUGCAAGUCGAGCGAACGGACGAGAAGCUUGCUUCUCUGAUGUUAGCGGCGGACGGGUGAGUAACACGUAGAUAACCUACCUAUAAGACUGGGAUAACUUCGGGAAACCGGAGCUAAUACCGGAUAAUAUUUUGAACCGCAUGGUUCAAAAGUGAAAGACGGUCUUGCUGUCACUUAUAGAUGGAUCCGCGCUGCAUUAGCUAGUUGGUAAGGUAACGGCUUACCAAGGCGACGAUGCAUAGCCGACCUGAGAGGGUGAUCGGCCACACUGGAACUGAGACACGGUCCAGACUCCUACGGGAGGCAGCAGUAGGGAAUCUUCCGCAAUGGGCGAAAGCCUGACGGAGCAACGCCGCGUGAGUGAUGAAGGUCUUCGGAUCGUAAAACUCUGUUAUUAGGGAAGAACAUAUGUGUAAGUAACUGUGCACAUCUUGACGGUACCUAAUCAGAAAGCCACGGCUAACUACGUGCCAGCAGCCGCGGUAAUACGUAGGUGGCAAGCGUUAUCCGGAAUUAUUGGGCGUAAAGCGCGCGUAGGCGGUUUUUUAAGUCUGAUGUGAAAGCCCACGGCUCAACCGUGGAGGGUCAUUGGAAACUGGAAAACUUGAGUGCAGAAGAGGAAAGUGGAAUUCCAUGUGUAGCGGUGAAAUGCGCAGAGAUAUGGAGGAACACCAGUGGCGAAGGCGACUUUCUGGUCUGUAACUGACGCUGAUGUGCGAAAGCGUGGGGAUCAAACAGGAUUAGAUACCCUGGUAGUCCACGCCGUAAACGAUGAGUGCUAAGUGUUAGGGGGUUUCCGCCCCUUAGUGCUGCAGCUAACGCAUUAAGCACUCCGCCUGGGGAGUACGACCGCAAGGUUGAAACUCAAAGGAAUUGACGGGGACCCGCACAAGCGGUGGAGCAUGUGGUUUAAUUCGAAGCAACGCGAAGAACCUUACCAAAUCUUGACAUCCUUUGACAACUCUAGAGAUAGAGCCUUCCCCUUCGGGGGACAAAGUGACAGGUGGUGCAUGGUUGUCGUCAGCUCGUGUCGUGAGAUGUUGGGUUAAGUCCCGCAACGAGCGCAACCCUUAAGCUUAGUUGCCAUCAUUAAGUUGGGCACUCUAAGUUGACUGCCGGUGACAAACCGGAGGAAGGUGGGGAUGACGUCAAAUCAUCAUGCCCCUUAUGAUUUGGGCUACACACGUGCUACAAUGGACAAUACAAAGGGCAGCGAAACCGCGAGGUCAAGCAAAUCCCAUAAAGUUGUUCUCAGUUCGGAUUGUAGUCUGCAACUCGACUACAUGAAGCUGGAAUCGCUAGUAAUCGUAGAUCAGCAUGCUACGGUGAAUACGUUCCCGGGUCU